rfam:Desulfosporosinus sp. Tol-M Desulfosporosinus_sp._Tol-M_contig_69, whole genome shotgun sequence.
CAGACAAUAUCGGAAGAGUUGUACUGUAUUGGGUAGCUGACUUAUAUGGAGUAGAAUUUAGAAAGAAAGCAAAAUUGAAAAGUCCUUAUACCGCAUAGCCGCUUGGAUCUGAAUGACCGAGACAGAGGG